GCCGGGUGUGGUGGCGGGCACCUGUAAUCCCAGCUACCGGGAGGCUGAGGUAGGAGAAUCGCUUGAACUCGGGAGGUGGAGGUUGCAGUGAGCCGAGAUUGUGCUACUGCACUCCAGCCUGGGCUACAGAGUGAGACUCUAUCUCAA
rnacentral:SRP_RNA from 1 species